rnacentral:rRNA from 1 species
CCUACGGUGUGCAGCAGUGGGGAAUAUUGCGCAAUGGGCGAAAGCCUGAUCCAGCGACGCCGCGUGAGGGAUGAAGGUCUUCGGAUCGUAAACCUCUGUCAGCAGGGAAGCAAGGUCACUGUGCUAAUCAGCAGUGAAUUGACGGUACCUGCAAAGGACGCACCGGCUAACUCCGUGCCAGCAGCCGCGGUAAUACGGGGGGUGCGAGCGUUAAUCGGAAUGACUGGGCGUAAAGCGCUCGUAGGCGGUUUGGCAAGUCAAGGGUGAAAGCCCCGCGCUCAACGUGGGAACUGCCUUUGAAACUGGCAAACUGGAGUGUGUGAGAGGAUAGGGGAAUUCCAGGUGUAGGAGUGAAAUCCGUAGAUAUCUGGAGGAACAUCAGUGGCGAAGGCGACUAUCUGGCACAUAACUGACGCUGAGGAGCGAAAGCGUGGGUAGCAAACAGGAUUAGAUACCCUUGUAGUC